rnacentral:rRNA from 1 species
GGGGAAUUUUCCGCAAUGGGCGAAAGCCUGACGGAGCAAUACCGCGUGAGGGAGGAAUGCCUUUGGGUUGUAAACCUCUUUUCUCAGGGAAGAAGAUCUGACGGUACCUGAGGAAUAAGUAUCGGCUAACUCCGUGCCAGCAGCCGCGGUAAUACGGAGGAUGCAAGCGUUAUCCGGAAUCAUUGGGCGUAAAGCGUCCGCAGGUGGUUUUCAAAGUCUGCUGUCAAAGACUGGAGCUCAACACCGGAAAGGCGGUGGAAACUUGGAAACUAGAGUUCGGUAGGGGUAGCAGGAAUUCCCAGUGUAGCGGCGAAAUGCGUAGAUAUUGGGAAGAACAUCGGUGGCGAAGGCGUGCUACUGGACCGCAACUGACACUCAGGGACGAAAGCUAGGGGAGCGAAAGGGAUUAGAUACCCCUGUAGUCCUAGCUGUAAACGAUGGAAACUAGGUGUGGCUUG